GCUCAGAAACUUAAGGAAUUGACGGGGCCCGCACAAGCGGUGGAGCAUGUGGUUUAAUUCGAAGCAACGCGCAGAACCUUACCAGCCCUUGACAUACCGGUCGCGGACACAGAGAUGUGUCUUUCAGUUCGGCUGGACCGGAUACAGGUGCUGCAUGGCUGUCGUCAGCUUGUGUCGUGAGAUGUUGGGUUAAGUCCCGCAACGAGCGCAACCCUUGCCUUUAGUUGCCAGCAGUUCGGCUGGGCACUCUAAAGGGACUGCCGGUGUUAAACCGGAGGAAGGUGGGGAUGACGUCAAGUCCUCAUGGCCUUUAUGACCAGGGCUACACACGUACUACAAUGGCCGAUACAAAGGGCAGCGACACUGCGAGGUGAAGCCAAUCCCGUAAAAUCGGUCUCAGUCCGGAUUGGAGUCUGCAACUCGACUCCAUGAAGUUGGAAUCGCUAGUAAUCGUGGAUCAGCAUGCCACGGUGAAUACGUUCCCGGGCCUU
rnacentral:rRNA from 1 species